CUCUAAGCACCUUCAACAAUAUUCUUUAUUAUUUAAUACUUGGCCUUGCCCUUCAUGAGAUGAACUUGGGCUUUUUGGGCUUUGGCCUUCUUGGGCUUGGGCUUGGGCUUUGGGCCUCAUCUUUUGCAAAGAAUAAUAAGAAGAACUUUAAAUGUGAGGGCGAAUGAUCUUGUCCUUCAUUAUUAAAAGCCUUCUUUAUUUGAUUCGCAUCAUACUCCCCGAGUUGGAGAGAAUUCGCCCACGAAUUCUGAAUCCCUGCAUAUAACAAAGUCAGUUUACUUUUACAAUCAAAAGUGUAAGAAAAAGGAAUACAUGACUUAGCGGAUGGAACCAAAGGGAUU
rnacentral:lncRNA from 1 species